rfam:Erinaceus europaeus unplaced genomic scaffold scaffold00271, whole genome shotgun sequence
GGAUGUGAGGGCGAUCUGGCUGCGACAUCUGUCACCCCAUUGAUUGCCAGGGUUGAUUCUGCUCAUCUGGCUGGCUAGGCAGUGUCCCCUUCCUCCCUCACCGCUCCAUGUGCGUUCCUCCUGAAGCUGCAUGCUCGAUCGAAGAGGACGGCCUUCCCUGAAUAGAGACGGACUGGUCUUUCAUCAAGGGUAUAUGAGUAGCUGUACUCCCCUGUUAGAACCUCCAAACAAGCUCUCAAGGUCCAUAGGUUGAAAGAAUUAACAUGAUUAAAAUUAAUAUACUACCUAGAGCCAUCUACAAAUUUAAUGCUAU